GGGUGCGAUCAUACCAACAUUAAUGCACCUGAUCCCAUCAGAACUCCGCAGUUAAGCACACUUGGUCUAGAGUAGUACUGGGAUGGGUGACCUCCUGGGAAGUCCUAGUGUUGCACCCU
rnacentral:rRNA from 1 species